AGCGAACGCUGGCGGCAGGCCUAACACAUGCAAGUCGAACGAAGUCUUCGGACUUAGUGGCGGACGGGUGAGUAACACGUGGGAACGUGCCCUUUGGUACGGAAUAACUCAGGGAAACUUGAGCUAAUACCGUAUGUGCCCUUCGGGGGAAAGAUUUAUCGCCAUUGGAGCGGCCCGCGUCUGAUUAGCUAGUUGGUGAGGUAAAGGCUCACCAAGGCGACGAUCAGUAGCUGGUCUGAGAGGAUGAUGAGCCACAUUGGGACUGAGACACGGCCCAAACUCCUACGGGAGGCAGCAGUGGGGAAUCUUGCGCAAUAGGCGAAAGCCUGACGCAGCCAUGCCGCGUGAAUGAUGAAGGUCUUAGGAUUGUAAAAUUCUUUCACCGGGGACGAUAAUGACGGUACCCGGAGAAGAAGCCCCGGCUAACUUCGUGCCAGCCGCCGCGGUAACAC
rnacentral:rRNA from 1 species